UAUUGGUCAAUGGGCUUACGCCUGAACCAGCCAAGUCGCGUGCGGGAAGACUGCCCUAUGGGUUGUAAACCUCUUUUGUCAGGGAGCAAUUGGCGCUACGUGUAGCGUUAUCGAGAGUACCUGAAGAAAACGAAUCGGCUAACUACGUGCCAGCAGCCGCGGUAAUACGGAGGAUGCGAGCGUUAUCCGGAUUUAUUGGGUUUAAAGGGUGCGUAGGCGGAAUGCCAAGUCAGCGGUAAAAUCGCGGGGCUCAACCUCGCUCCGCCGUUGAAACUGGCGUUCUUGAGUGGGCGACAAGUAUGCGGAAUGCGUGGUGUAGCGGUGAAAUGCAUAGAUAUCACGAAGAACUCCGAUUGCGAAGGCAGCAUACCGGCGCCCAACUGACGCUGAAGCACGAAAGCGUGGGUAUCGA
rnacentral:rRNA from 1 species